UCACGAAAGUGGGCCGUACUAGAAGCUGGUGUGCGUAACCGCAAGGAGGCAGCCAUCCAAGGUACAGCUCAUGAUUGGGGUG
rnacentral:rRNA from 1 species